AGAGUUUGAUCCUGGCUCAGAUUGAACGCUGGCGGCAUGCCUUACACAUGCAAGUCGAACGGCAGCACGGGAGCAAUCCUGGUGGCGAGUGGCGAACGGGUGAGUAAUAUAUCGGAACGUGCCCAGUCGUGGGGGAUAACGCAGCGAAAGCUGUGCUAAUACCGCAUACGAUCUCUGGAUGAAAGCGGGGGACUCGCAAGGGCCUCGCGCGAUUGGAGCGGCCGAUAUCAGAUUAGCUAGUUGGUGGGGUAAAAGCCCACCAAGGCGACGAUCUGUAGCUGGUCUGAGAGGACGACCAGCCACACUGGAACUGAGACACGGUCCAGACUCCUACGGGAGGCAGCAGUGGGGAAUUUUGGACAAUGGGCGCAAGCCUGAUCCAGCAAUGCCGCGUGCAGGAUGAAGGCCUUCGGGUUGUAAACUGCUUUUGUACGGAACGAAACGGUCCUUUCUA
rnacentral:rRNA from 1 species